AACGAACGCUGGCGGCAGGCUUAACACAUGCAAGUCGAGCGCCCCGCAAGGGGAGCGGCAGACGGGUGAGUAACGCGUGGGAAUCUACCCAUCCCUACGGAAUAGCUCCGGGAAACUGGAAUUAAUACCGUAUACGCCCUACGGGGGAAAGAUUUAUCGGGGAUGGAUGAGCCCGCGUUGGAUUAGCUAGUUGGUGGGGUAAAGGCCUACCAAGGCGACGAUCCAUAGCUGGUCUGAGAGGAUGAUCAGCCACAUUGGGACUGAGACACGGCCCAAACUCCUACGGGAGGCAGCAGUGGGGAAUAUUGGACAAUGGGGGCAACCCUGAUCCAGCCAUGCCACGUGAGUGAUGAAGGCCCUAGGGUUGUAAAGCUCUUUCACCGGUGAAGAUAAUGACGGUAACCGGAGAAGAAGCCCCGGCUAACUUCGUGCCAGCCGCCGCAGUAA
rnacentral:rRNA from 1 species